AGAGAGAGACAUGCGCGCAUAUCAAUAAGCGGAGGAAAAGAAACUAACAAGGAUUCCCCUAGUAACGGCGAGUGAAGCGGGAAGAGCUCAAAUUUGAAAUCUUAAAGGGUUUCCCUUUACGAAUUGUAGUUUAAAGAAGUGUUUUCUGUUGAGGUUUUGGUAAAAGUUCUUUGGAAUAGGACAUCAUAGAGGGUGAGAAUCCCGUAUUUGACCUUUACUUUCAACUUUGUGAUACACUUUCAAAGAGUCGGAUUGUUUGGGAAUGCAGUCCAAAAUGGGUGGUAAAUUUCAUCUAAAGCUAAAUAUUGGCGAGAGACCGAUAGCGAACAAGUACCGUGAGGGAAAGAUGAAAAGAACUUUGAAAAGAGAGUUAAACAGUACGUGAAAUUGUCAAAAGGGAAGCGUUUGACACCAGUGUUGUUUUUCUGAAAAUCAAUUAAAGAACUGUUUAUGCUAAGUUGUUUAGACUUUAUCAGCUAACUGUUUAGUUUUGAGCUUUUCUUUAAUGCACUUUUCAGCUAACAAGUCAACAUCAAUUUCUUUUGCUGUAAAAAAGCUUAAGGAAGGUGGCUUGAGAUUCGUCUUAAGUGUUUAUAGCCUCUUGCCUAUGCAGUCGGAGAGAUUGAGGUCUGCAGCGUAGAUCCUUCGGGGCUAAAUGCAUUUGUGCUAAGUUAUAGCAUUUUAUAGACAACUUGUUGACUAUGAUUUGUCUUGUAGCUUACUCGCUUAUGUUAUUUUACCUACGCUUAGGAUGUUGAGCGCAUGUCUCUCUCU
rnacentral:rRNA from 1 species